rnacentral:misc_RNA from 1 species
UGCAAUUUUUUUUUUUGGGUGGAAUUCCUGCCCACCAAAUAUAGCAGGGCCCAAUUGCCAUUCUUAUGAAAGGGGAAAGAAGCCAUAGGUGCUGGAUAUUCAUUACACAUAAACACAAUUUAAUUAGGAUUUUUUUGGGGAAGUAAUAAACUAAUGUGACAAAAAUUACAAAAGCAAUCAUUUCAAGACAAAAAGAAUGAUCAGCAGUUCCUACAACUCACAAAGAAAAUACAAAUUCCAUAUUCUCAAAUCAACAUAAAACAUAGCAGUAUCAAGUAUACCAUCCAAAGCCUCUGUUUUGAGGAUAAUCUUUAAAAUCACAAGAAAACUAAAUCGACAAUCAUGAUAGAACAAUCAACCUGCGGUAGCAAAGAUGCUGA